AGUGAACGCUGGCGGCAGGCCUAACACAUGCAAGUCGAACGGCAGCACAAGAGAGCUUGCUCUCUGGGUGGCGAGUGGCGGACGGGUGAGGAAUGCAUCGGAAUCUGCCCAUUUGUGGGGGAUAACCUCGGGAAACCGGGACUAAUACCGCAUACGACCUACGGGUGAAAGCAGGGGAUCUUCGGACCUUGCGCAGAUGGAUGAGCCGAUGCCGGAUUAGCUAGUUGGAGGGGUAAAGGCCCACCAAGGCGACGAUCCGUAGCUGGUCUGAGAGGAUGAUCAGCCACACUGGGACUGAGACACGGCCCAGACUCCUACGGGAGGCAGCAGUGGGGAAUAUUGGACAAUGGGCGCAAGCCUGAUCCAGCCAUGCCGCGUGUGUGAAGAAGGCCUUCGGGUUGUAAAGCACUUUUGUUGGGAAAGAAAAGCAGCCGGUUAAUACCUGGUUGUCAUGACGGUACCCAAAGAAUAAGCACCGGCUAACUUCGUG
rnacentral:rRNA from 1 species